GACGAACGCUGGCGGCGUGCUUAACACAUGCAAGUCGAACGGAAAGGCCCUGCUUGCAGGGUACUCGAGUGGCGAACGGGUGAGUAACACGUGCGUGAUCUGCCCUGCUCUUCGGGAUAAGCUUGGGCAACUGGGUCUAAUACCGGAUAGGAACCAUCUUUAGUGUGGUGGUUGGAAAGUUUUUUCGGUGUUGGAUGAGUUCGCGGCCUAUCAGCUUGUUGGUGGGGUAAUGGCCUACCAAGACGGCGACUGGUAGCCGGCAUGAGAGGGUGUACGGCCACAUUGGUACUGAGAUACGGCGCAGAAGCCUAUGGGAGGCAGCAGGGGAGAAUAUGGCACAAUGGGCGCAAGCCUGAUGCAGCGACGCCGCGUGGGGGAUGAAGGCCUAUGGGUUGUAAACGACUUUCGCUAGGGACGAAGCUUUUUGUGACGUUACCAAGAUAAGAAGCACCGGUUACUUACGU
rnacentral:rRNA from 1 species